rnacentral:rRNA from 1 species
GGGUUGUGAGGUUAAGCGACUAAGCGUACACGGUGGAUGCCCUGGCAGUCAGAGGCGAUGAAGGACGUGCUAAUCUGCGAAAAGCGUCGGUAAGGUGAUAUGAACCGUUAUAACCGGCGAUGUCCGAAUGGGGAAACCCAGUGCAAUUCGUUGCACUAUCGUUAACUGAAUACAUAGGUUAACGAGGCGAACCGGGGGAACUGAAACAUCUAAGUACCCCGAGGAAAAGAAAUCAACCGAGAUUCCCCCAGUAGCGGCGAGCGAACGGGGAGCAGCCCAGAGUCUGAAUCAGCUUGUGUGUUAGUGGAACGGUCUGGAAAGUCCGACGGUACAGGGUGAUAGUCCCGUACACCAAAAUGCACAGGCUGUGAACUCGAAGAGUAGGGCGGGACACGUGGUAUCCUGUCUGAAUAUGGGGGGACCAUCCUCCAAGGCUAAAUACUCCUGACUGACCGAUAGUGAACCAGUACCGUGAGGGAAAGGCGAAAAGAACCCCGGCGAGGGGAGUGAAAAAGAACCUGAAACCGUGUACGUACAAGCAGUGGGAGCACCUUCGGGUGUGACUGCGUACCUUUUGUAUAAUGGGUCAGCGACUUAUAUUCUGUAGCAAGGUUAACCGUAUAGGGGAGCCGCAGGGAAACCGAGUCUUAACUGGGCGUUAAGUUGCAGGGUAUAGACCCGAAACCCGGUGAUCUAGCCAUGGGCAGGUUGAAGGUUGGGUAACACUAACUGGAGGACCGAACCGACUAAUGUUGAAAAAUUAGCGGAUGACUUGUGGCUGGGGGUGAAAGGCCAAUCAAACCGGGAGAUAGCUGGUUCUCCCCGAAAGCUAUUUAGGUAGCGCCUCGUGAACUCAUCUUCGGGGGUAGAGCACUGUUUCGGCUAGGGGGUCAUCCCGACUUACCAACCCGAUGCAAACUACGAAUACCGAAGAAUGUUAUCACGGGAGACACACGGCGGGUGCUAACGUCCGUCGUGAAGAGGGAAACAACCCAGACCGCCAGCUAAGGUCCCAAAGUCAUGGUUAAGUGGGAAACGAUGUGGGAAGGCACAGACAGCCAGGAUGUUGGCUUAGAAGCAGCCAUCAUUUAAAGAAAGCGUAAUAGCUCACUGGUCGAGUCGGCCUGCGCGGAAGAUGUAACGGGGCUAAACCAUGCACCGAAGCUGCGGCAGCGACACUAUGUGUUGUUGGGUAGGGGAGCGUUCUGUAAGCCUGCGAAGGUGUGCUGUGAGGCAUGCUGGAGGUAUCAGAAGUGCGAAUGCUGACAUAAGUAACGAUAAAGCGGGUGAAAAGCCCGCUCGCCGGAAGACCAAGGGUUCCUGUCCAACGUUAAUCGGGGCAGGGUGAGUCGACCCCUAAGGCGAGGCCGAAAGGCGUAGUCGAUGGGAAACAGGUUAAUAUUCCUGUACUUGGUGUUACUGCGAAGGGGGGACGGAGAAGGCUAUGUUAGCCGGGCGACGGUUGUCCCGGUUUAAGCAUGUAGGCUGGUUGU